GAUGAACGCUGGCGGCGUGCCUAACACAUGCAAGUCGAGCGAUUCUCUUCGGAGAAGAGCGGCGGACGGGUGAGUAACGCGUGGGUAACCUGCCCUGUACACACGGAUAACAUACCGAAAGGUAUGCUAAUACGAGAUAAUAUGCUUUUAUCGCAUGGUAGAAGUAUCAAAGCUCCGGCGGUACAGGAUGGACCCGCGUCUGAUUAGCUAGUUGGUAAGGUAACGGCUUUACCAAGGCGACGAUCAGUAGCCGACCUGAGAGGGUGAUCGGCCACAUUGGAACUGAGACACGGUCCAAACUCCUACGGGAGGCAGCAGUGGGGAAUAUUGCACAAUGGGCGAAAGCCUGAUGCAGCAACGCCGCGUGAGCGAUGAAGGCCUUCGGGUCGUAAAGCUCUGUCCUCAAGGAAGAUAAUGACGGUACUUGAGGAGGAAGCCCCGGCUAACUACGUGCCAGCAG
rnacentral:rRNA from 1 species